UGCUGCUUUAUGGAUGUGGGUUUUUUUUCUGUGCAGCUCUUGUUCUUGAUCAUAUUUGAGGAAGUACGUGUAUAUUCUUAGAUUCGGAUUGAAAGUUUGCCAUGAUACGACAACAAUCCCAAGGAUUGAGAUCUCAUAAAGUACAAGGGCAAGUGAGUGACGGCGCUUAAUAAAUAAGCUGCAACUGAGCAAUCAUGACAGUAGGCCCGUGUGAUCUGGGAAAAUGAAGAACAUUUCCGGUUAAAGGGAAAAGUCUGAGCCAAACUGCAAAUGAACUUCAUCAUCCAGCACAGGGGACUCUACACCAGUUUCUUGCCAUAAUGGAAAUCUGUCUUCUCAAACCGACAUGGACACCGACAACUGACAUGGGUAGUAGCGAUGUGUGAUUUUGACUGUGAGUAAGUCUGUGUCUUGACGCAGCAUUCACCUCAUGCCUACACAAACCAGAUCAGGCUUUAUUGUUCUUCUCUAUGCGGUGGCAAGCUGAACUGAAAGCGUAUCACUUGGUGGAAAUGUGGCUUAAAAAGCCCUCAUUGAAUUCCAAAGACAUUCCCAUCAGGCACCACUCAGCGCAUUUUCUUCAAGAAAUGAGAGCAGAGCAGGCAAAGCGGGCCUCUCUCGCCCAUUUUGAUUAGCAUGAAUCAGCUUAAGAUGUCAAGCCAACCACCCGUAGCCACCAGGAAACACACCCUAACACUUCCCCCCACUCCUUCUCCCCUGCUCUCCUGGAGUGUUGCUGAAUCCCUGCUGUGCAUUUUGUUUUGCUUCAACGGUGGCUCCAUUUCAUCUCAUGUUGUGAGAGGAGUGCGGGAGGAGACUUCUCAUGGCUGUCUUUCUGCUUGUUUUCCUUCAAUGAGCCCGCCGGUCUGCUUAAGAAGUCAUUAGAAAUCCACCAUGGGAAAUCAAGUCCCUCCAAUCCCAAACCCAUUUUGCAGUCAACCGAGGGAGGGGUCUCUAACUUCAAAUCCAGUUGUUGUACAGCCAAAAGCAAUUAGAACCAUAAGGGAGGUUAUGGAUGACUCCAGGUCCUGCAAGGUGGGCCCCCCAAAAAACGAAAGUCAAUUAAAAUGAGGGCGAAGCGGUUACUCGGCUAUCGAUCUACAGAUUUCAAAGGGAGCACGCGGGACUGUUCCAACCAUCGGGAACAUUGUAGAAUAACAAGGCUAAAAUUCCCAACGGGUGUUCCUGAGCAUCUUGUCUCAUCCCGUUCGGAAGCGGCCAAAAAAUCAUUUGGAGGUCAUACUUUAGAUUUUUACCUUGAGGAAACAGAAACUCAAGUGUAUAACACUCAUCCUGUCCACAAUCUCUGUCAGGUUCAGACCGAACCGAAUAAUAUUUUUGGAUUCCAAAAAUGCAGGCUCAGACAAAGUGCGAU